rnacentral:rRNA from 1 species
AUUGAACGCUGGCGGCAUGCUUUACACAUGCAAGUCGAACGGUAACAGGGAGCUUGCUCCGCUGACGAGUGGCGAACGGGUGAGUAAUGCGUCGGAACGUGCCGAGUAGUGGGGGAUAACGCAGCGAAAGUUGUGCUAAUACCGCAUACGUACUGAGGUAGAAAGUGGGGGACCUUCGGGCCUCACGCUAUUCGAGCGGCCGACGUCUGAUUAGCUAGUAGGUGGGGUAAAGGCUCACCUAGGCGACGAUCAGUAGCGGGUCUGAGAGGAUGGUCCGCCACACUGGGACUGAGACACGGCCCAGACUCCUACGGGAGGCAGCAGUGGGGAAUUUUGGACAAUGGGCGAAAGCCUGAUCCAGCCAUGCCGCGUGUCUGAAGAAGGCCUUCGGGUUGUAAAGGACUUUUGUCGGGGAGGAAAUCCCCAGCGCUAAUACCGCUGGGGGGUGACAGUACCUGAAGAAUAAGCACCGGCUAACUACGUGCCAGCAGCCGCCGUAACAC